rnacentral:rRNA from 1 species
GACGAGCGCUGGCGGCGUGCCUAAUACAUGCAAGUCGAACGCUUCUUUCCUCCCGAGUGCUUGCACUCAAUUGGAAAGAGGAGUGGCGGACGGGUGAGUAACACGUGGGUAACCUACCCAUCAGAGGGGGAUAACACUUGGAAACAGGUGCUAAUACCGCAUAACAGUUUAUGCCGCAUGGCAUAAGAGUGAAAGGCGCUUUCGGGUGUCGCUGAUGGAUGGACCCGCGGUGCAUUAGCUAGUUGGUGAGGUAACGGCUCACCAAGGCCACGAUGCAUAGCCGACCUGGGAGGGUGAUCGGCCACCCUGGGACUGAGACACGGCCCAGACUCCUACGGGAGGCAGCAGUAGGGAAUCUUCGGCAAUGGACGGAAGUCUGACCGAGCAACGCCGCGUGAGUGAAGAAGGUUUUCGGAUCGUAAAACUCUGUUGUUAGAGAAGAACAAGGACGUUAGUAACUGAACGUCCCCUGACGGUAUCUAACCAGAAAGCCACGGCUAACUACGUGCCAGCCGCCGCGGUAA